GGGAGGGGCGCAAGCGUUGUUCGGAAUCAUUGGGCGUAAAGCGAGUGUAGGUGGUUUGGAAAGUCGGGGUGUGAAAUCCCAGGGCUCAACCCUGGAACUGCACUCGAAACUGCUGAGCUAGAGUCCCGGAGAGGAUGGCGGAAUUCCCGGUGUAGAGGUGAAAUUCGUAGAUAUCGGGAGGAACACCAGCGGCGAAGGCGGCCAUCUGGACGGUGACUGACACUGAGACUCGAAAGCGUGGGUAGCGAACAGGAUUAGAUACCCUGGUAGUCCACGCCGUAAACGUUGGGUGCUCGACGUCGCGGGUAUUGACCCCUGCGGUGUCCAAGUUAACGCGUGAAGCACCCCGCCUGGGGAGUACGGUCGCAAAGACUA
rnacentral:rRNA from 1 species